GGUGCAUGGCCGUCGUCAGUUCGUACUGUGAAGCAUCCUGUUAAGUCAGGCAACGAGCGAGACCCACGCCCACAGUUGCCAGCGUACUCUCCGGAGUGACGGGGUACACUGUGGGGACCGCCGCUGCUAAAGCGGAGGAAGGAAUGGGCAACGGUAGGUCAGUAUGCCCCGAAUAUCCCGGGCUACACGCGAGCUACAAUGGUUGGUACAAUGGGUAUCUACCCCGAAAGGGGGAUGGAAAUCUCCUAAAGCCAAUCUUAGUCCGGAUUGAGGGCUGCAACUCGCCCUCAUGAAGCUGGAAUCCGUAGUAAUCGCGUUUCAACAGAACGCGGUGAAUACGUCCCUGCUCCUU
rnacentral:rRNA from 1 species